rnacentral:rRNA from 1 species
GAACGCUGGCGGCGUGCCUAAUACAUGCAAGUAGAACGCUGAAGAGAGGAGCUUGCUCUUCUUGGAUGAGUUGCGAACGGGUGAGUAACGCGUAGGUAACCUGCCUGGUAGCGGGGGAUAACUAUUGGAAACGAUAGCUAAUACCGCAUAAAAUGGAUUAUCGCAUGAUAAUCCAUUGAAAGGUGCAAAUGCAUCACUACCAGAUGGACCUGCGUUGUAUUAGCUAGUUGGUGGGGUAACGGCUCACCAAGGCGACGAUACAUAGCCGACCUGAGAGGGUGAUCGGCCACACUGGGACUGAGACACGGCCCAGACUCCUACGGGAGGCAGCAGUAGGGAAUCUUCGGCAAUGGACGGAAGUCUGACCGAGCAACGCCGCGUGAGUGAAGAAGGGUUUCGGAUCGUAAAGCUCUGUUGUAAGAGAAGAACGAGUGUGAGAGUGGAAAGUUCACACUGUGACGGUAUCUUACCAGAAAGGGACGGCUAACUACGUG